rnacentral:rRNA from 1 species
UGGGGAAUUUUGGACAAUGGGCGAAAGCCUGAUCCAGCAAUGCCGCGUGUGUGAAGAAGGCCUUCGGGUUGUAAAGCACUUUUGUCCGGAAAGAAAUGGCUCUGGUUAAUACCUGGGGUCGAUGACGGUACCGGAAGAAUAAGGACCGGCUAACUACGUGCCAGCAGCCGCGGUAAUACGUAGGGUCCAAGCGUUAAUCGGAAUUACUGGGCGUAAAGCGUGCGCAGGCGGUUGUGCAAGACCGAUGUGAAAUCCCCGAGCUUAACUUGGGAAUUGCAUUGGUGACUGCACGGCUAGAGUGUGUCAGAGGGGGGUAGAAUUCCACGUGUAGCAGUGAAAUACGUAGAGAUGUGGAGGAAUACCGAUGGCGAAGGCAGCCCCCUGGGAUAACACUGACGCUCAUGCACGAAAGCGUGGGGAGCAAACAGGAUUAGAUACCCUGGUAGUCCACGCCCUAAACGAUGUCAACUAGUUGUUGGGGAUUCAUUUCCUUAGUACGUAGCUAACGCGUGAAGUUGACCGCCUGGGGAGUACGGUCGCAAGAUUAAAAGCUC